rnacentral:rRNA from 1 species
UACGUAGGGCGCAAGCGUUAUCCGGCAUUAUUGGGCGUCAAGGGCUCGUAGGCGGUUUGUCGCGUCGGGAGUGAAAACACCGGGCUUAACUCGGUGCUUGCUUUCGAUACGGGCAGACUGGAGGUAUGCAGGGGAGAACGGAAUUCCUAGUGUAGCGGUGAAAUGCGCAGAUAUCAGGAGGAACACCUAUAGCGAAGGCAGCUUGCUGGGACGUUACUGACGCUAAGGCGCGAAAGCGUGGGGAGCGAACAGG